rnacentral:rRNA from 1 species
AUUGAACGCUGGCGGCAGGCCUAACACGUGCAAGUCGAGCGGAUGAGUGGAGCUUGCUCCAUGAUUCAGCGGCGGACGGGUGAGUAAUGCCUAGGAAUCUGCCUGGUAGUGGGGGACAACGUUUCGAAAGGAACGCUAAUACCGCAUACGUCCUACGGGAGAAAGUGGGGGAUCUUCGGACCUCACGCUAUCAGAUGAGCCUAGGUCGGAUUAGCUAGUUGGUGAGGUAAAGGCUCACCAAGGCGACGAUCCGUAACUGGUCUGAGAGGAUGAUCAGUCACACUGGAACUGAGACACGGUCCAGACUCCUACGGGAGGCAGCAGUGGGGAAUAUUGGACAAUGGGCGAAAGCCUGAUCCAGCCAUGCCGCGUGUGUGAAGAAGGUCUUCGGAUUGUAAAGCACUUUAAGUUGGGAGGAAGGGCAGUAAGUUAAUUCCUUGCUGUUUUGACGUUACCAACAGAAUAAGCACCGGCUAACUUCGUGCCAGCCGCCGCGGUAAGAC